ensembl:lncRNA
GGCUCAGCCGGUUCGGAGCCGGGUCGCCCAGGCUCCAGGGGCCCCGGAACCGGGAUAAGUGGGACAGGCGCCGCGGCGAAGGGGGGUUGUGGGGUGGAGCGAGCUCAGUAUUUCCUACACGGGUUCUGGGGCCCGGCGAAGACGCACCGAGAGCAGAGGGAAGUGCGGCGGCCCUGGAACCUGGAUAUCGCGCGAGAAACACAGGCUCAUGAAAACAUCACAGUGUGUCCUCAUCCAUCUUAUCCACUGGAGCUGGCACCGUAUGACUUCUGACUCUUCCCCAAAUUCAAAAUGACCAUGAAAGGUAAACAUUUUGAAUCAGUUCAGGACAUCAAGGGAGCCACAACAGUCCAACUAAAAAGGACUUCCAGAACUGCUUCAGAAAGUGGCAAGAACAAUAGGAUACAUUCGUUCAAAGAGAGGGGGAGUAUUUUGAGGGUGAUUGAUGGCAGUGUGUCUUUUACUGUAAUAAAUCUUUUUAAAUUUAAGCAUUCACUGUAGUUUUCAGUCACACCUCAUAUAAUGCUUGGCUUUGUAAGAAACUGACUCUUCCAAUGUGCCUGUCCUUUUGUUGCAUUCCUACCAGCAAUGAAUAAGACUUCCUGUCACUCCACAUCCUUGUCAGGUUUUGAUGUCAGUGUUCUAGAUUUUCACCAUUCUAAUAGUUGUGUAGUAGUAUCUCAUUGACCUUUUAAUUUGCAGCUUUCUAAUGACACAAUGUUGAGUGUUAUUUUUUGUGCUUUUUUGCCAUCUCUUUAUCUUCUUUGCUAAGCAGUCUCUUCAGAUCUUUCUUUUUUUGAGACAAGAUUUCAAUAUAUAGUUCAGGCUGGCUUUGAACUCAAGAUGUAUAUAGCCCAGGCUUGUCUUGAACUCGUGGCAAUCCUCCUGCCUCAGUUUCUCUUCCCCAUUCUUUUUUUUGGUACCGGGGAUCGAACUUCGAUCCUUGCACUUGUGCAGCAGGCGGAGAAACCACUGAGCUAAAUCCCUGGCCCUCUUGCCCAUUCUUUAAUUGAGUCAUUGUAUCCUGUGCAUAUUUCUUUGUCAGCCUUGACUAUUGAAUUUUGCACUUGUAUUUUGUAUUUUGGUAAAAAGUAAUAUCAUAAUUAUUCUUUCCUGUUCUUUAAUUAUUGAGAGUCAAACUUUUUCAAAGUUAUUUACUGGGCCAGGGAUUUAGCUCAGUGGUUCCACUGCCUGCCUCGAAGGCUCAAGGUCCUGAGUUCGAUCCCCAGUACCAAAAAAAAAAAAAAAAAAAAGCUAUUUAUUUACUGGGGGUGGUGGUGGUAUUUUUUGCUUAUGUGAAUUCUUUUCUACCAUUUGUCCAGUAGGAAUUAUAUAUUGUUUUUGGAACUUUGUGUGUGUCUGUGUUUUUGAUAUAUUUUAUUAUUUUUUCUUUAAUACUUUCCCCUGUGUUUUUAACCAGCUCGUCAUUUGAUUUUCUUUUGCUUCCAAAGUCCAAAAUUUCUCUUCCUAAUUACGAUCCGGUUAUUGUUCCAUUUUGAUGAACCGAUGAAAUAAAAAUUGAACCUUUUUAUCUCAGGGAGUGUUUUUAAAAUAACAUGUGGCUCUGACGACCCUGUGCCUCCUCAGGCUGAUGGGAUGUUUCAUUUUCAG